AGUAGGCAGUUCUCCAAAGGUUUAUCAGUCAGUUGGGACCCUGAGUCAAUCAUCAGAUGUGAAGAGGUGUAGUCCAUCCAAGUCUAGGUCUCCUUACUCUGUUGUGGUAAACCUGUUACAGACCCCGAGCUCAUCUUCAGUUGUGAAGAGGCGAACUCCC